UACGUAGGUGGCAAGCGUUGUCCGGAUUUAUUGGGUUUAAAGGGUGCGUAGGCGGCUUUUUAAGUCAGUGGUGAAAUACUUCAGCUCAACUGGAGAGGUGCCAUUGAUACUGGGAUGCUUGAGUACUGAUGAGGUAGGCGGAAUGGACGGUGUAGCGGUGGAAUGCUUAGAUAUCGUCCAGAACACCGAUAGCGAAGGCAGCUUACUAAGGAGUAACUGACGCUGAGGCACGAAAGUGUGGGGAUCAAACAGG
rnacentral:rRNA from 1 species